AUUUUUGCUUGUAUUUUGGAGAAACUCGAUUGAUUUCUAGCAAACUUGGUUUACCACUACAUCGUCGCCUAUUGUUAUUUGUUGCUGCUUGGGACAAUAAAGUUAAGUCAGCAACCGUCUACCAGACUGCAAGAUUCAUCUCUUCCAAAGGAUGUCGUACCUUUCCAGAUACACUGUGUUUUGUGUGGAUAAGAAAUGCAGAGUGGUACCACCAAUCACCUAAGCCAUCAUUCCCCUAGCAGACAAUAGGCUCAUGGGGACAGUUCCUGCAAUUUACAGAAAAGCUCUCAAUUGUAGCCCUACGAACUUCAGGCCCAAUGAUCUUGAACCCCCAGCAAUGUUGAUGUUUGCAAUUCAUCAAUGGCUGCAAAGACAGGCAGCUAAUGAUACUGCCGAUGGUGAAGCUUGGGUGCACCGGGCCGGUUUUCCAGCCGUGUGGAAUCAACAUCUCCAGCUGAACUGGGGCCGCGAAUUAUAUAAGACUCCUUAGCAGCAUGGUGAGCUUUUGCGUAUUUAUUUCCAGGCUCAUAUACCCGGCCAGACUUCUGCGUUUAAGCUUUCCUGUCAUCAUUUUUUUAAAUAACGUAUCUCAAGUCUUUCAAUGAAAUCACAACUGUGACACCUUUGGAGGCUAGAUUUAAAUUAAGGAACCAUUAUGUGUAGAAAGCCUUUUGGGUGAUUUAAAAUCAAAUUAGUAAACAGGAUUCUCAUGGUUCAUGGUUUAUAAUUGGCCUUGUGGACCUUUCAUUCUUUACUUUGGUAACAGCCGCUUAAGUAUGUAAGAAGGGGGGGGGUACAGAUGUGAUAGUAAACAGUGUUUAAUAAGGUAUAUUUGUUUUUAUUUUAUCACCAUUUUGAAGGUAAUGAUUUUGUUAAAUCAGGGUUAAGUAACAAGUUUAACACAAACACUGUAACAUGUUCUUUAUUUCAAAUAAAUCUAUAAAUUAUCUCUGGAGAAUUUAGUCUGAUCUCCAUUUUUCAGAAAAUGUUGCUGUCUAAGUGCCUAUUCCAUCAAUGAGUAUCACUGUCUUUAAAUUGCUGUUGCGGUACAGUUUAAAUAGCAAAAGUUUUAUGGCCCUGCUUGUUUGCAACUCCUCAUUCAUUUUUGUACAGCGAGAAAAGUAAGGGAAUUCUAGAGAUUUACUAGAAUUAUGGAUUGUUUUUCUUGAGUUACACAGUACAUAAGGAGGAAUAAGUGUGUACACAACUCCUCAUUUGAUUCCUGUUUAUUAUUUAUAUAUGUAACAUAGAUGUGUACAAGACUUAGAAACAUGACAUAAAAGAGCUCACGUUGAUAAAUUUUCUCAAAAAAAGAUAUCUUUACUGUUAAAGUAAGAACUUUUACUGCAUAGUAAGUAAUGUCUUCUGCUCAUCUUUAUGACAUCAUUACAUGGAAUGGAAACUUCCCAAGAUACAUUUCCACAUGGCGCAGCUCAUUUAUAUAUAUUGCUGAUGGAUUGUUUAGAAAGGGACAGUUUUAAUUGGACAAAAUGUUUUAAUCGCCAUUUUACAGAGUGCCAGCCAGUCAUUGCUGUUCUUGCAUUGCUGAGGAGGACAGUCCUGCCAACAUAACAGUUUGUUCAAUAACAGAUAAAAAACUGAUCUCACUUUACAUUUUCAACCACUGCCAGAUAAUAUAAUCUUAUAUAAUGAUAACUCCUUCUUCACAACUGGUGUUAAAUAUAUAAUGUUUAAACUAACAAUAAAAUGGAAAUUAUGCUCUUUAAACUCAGAACCAUUAUUGACUGUCAGAUGCUACUGGUAAAUGAACUGGUCUUGAUGUCCUUUUCUUGAGAUAAUAACUAUUUGCAUAUUACCCCGGUACUACUAUUGUACAUUCAAUAGAAAAUCGUCUUGUUUGUAUCGUUAAAUGGCUUUAUAAUGUUCCCCACUUCCUGAUUCUUGAAAAUUACGUGAACAAAUGACAAUCCUACUACCAUUUAAAGUUUGAUUAAAUUUCGGACAAAUGUGUUUGUUUUAAUUUGCCUUCUGCUUAAAGUAAGGGUAUAUAUACUGGGCAAGAAGUGCUGAAUUUCAUCGUGAAUGACAGUGAUUAUCCAUAGUUUGAAUUUGGUUCGGACAUGUUUGACGGGAAUUCAAAGACAUUUUUUUGUCAUCAUUUUCGCAUACAUUGGUUCAUUCUAAGAUAAAAAAUAUAACCUUUUUCAAAAUGUUCAAUCUGUGAGAGUGCAGCUUUAAUAGACCUGUAAAGACUUGUCGAUGUGAAACUAAACUCUCAAUCAAACUUUGGUAAAAGAUCAAAUGCGGGGCUCCAUGUGCGGCAUAGACUGAGUUAAUUUUUAUUUAAUAUGAUGAAGAGCUAGUUAAGUUAUCUUUGUUAAAAGUCUUCGUUUGAAGCAAAAUAUGUUUCAAUACCCUGUAUGAAUUUUCUUCACUGGAUAUUGAUUCAUAAAAAACAUUGCUCCAGGGUGCGGAGCUAUUUUUUGCUAUAUGUCUAUAUGGAAAAAUCUUCUCCUCAGAAGUCAACUUUGUUCCCCAAUGUGCAAGGCACAAUCAGUGAAAAUAAUUUCAAUAAAAUCACUGAUUAUUAUUAUUGUUAUUAUUAUUAAUAAACUUUUACUAUUUCAGGAGACAAACAGAAACACAGAGGUCCUAUUCAUUCUGAUGGAAAAACAAAAGCAUCUCCCAUCAUUUUGGCGUGGCUCAGAUCAAGAGGAGAAUUUUAAGAAAGGUGAUGGUUGGGCACACACAAGAAGACAUAGAUCACAGGUGUCUAGCCAUAUGAGUAGAUAGGAGGGUCACACUCUGCCAAACUUACUUUGUCAGACGAGCAGAAAGCUUCUCAAGAUCCCGCACUGCACACUAAGACAUAGUCUUUGACUACAACAAGGUGAUGAAAGUACAGAGAGGUCCAAUUGAAAUCAAUUCUGUGCUGCUGUCAUUUCUUCAUUCUGGAAGUCGAUGGACAUGAUUUAUCAUGGCAUCAAGUGUGCAGUUUGCCGACUAUCAGCAGUCUUGUUCACCGGCUGUGCAACUUGAGCUGGUAGCUUUAUUGCUUGAAGCCACUGCAUAAGAGGGGGAAGGUGCAGGCUCAUCAAAAAGUCUCAAAAUUUGAAACUAGGAAAAGAAGUUUAUCAAGAGUGUGAAUCUAUUUUGAAAACAAUCGUUACAAUGAUUUGGUUUCCUUUGAAACUUGAUACAUACUAUGAAUUGAGAUGCUUAAAUAAAAAACCGCUAUUCAAAUAUCAGGAAACUGCCUUUUUCAUACUAAAGGGUAAAUGAUGUCGCCAUUUCCUGUAUGUAUAAUGAUAUGUCUCCACAAUUAAUAUUUUUAGGGAAUUUUUCUCAACCUAAUGAUUGAGAUUAAAUUGUACAGCGUUAUAUGAGCUUAAUAUGUGUUUUCUCAUUCUUUAAAAUUGGUGAAAAAUUGUCAGAAGAUAAUUAGACCAGUAUCCAUUACUGCAAUCAUACAAUCAAACAUACAGGGACAAGCCCACUGGGCAUAUAAUAUAAUUAAACCCUGUUUAGGGGCACGAGGCAAACAGAGUUACUUUCAAACGUUAAAGCUGCACUCUCACACUUUGGAUGUUUUGACAACCUUUUUCAUUUUAUAUCUUGGAUUGGAACCAUCCAAUUUUUGCGAAAAAAUAAAUCCCAGAUUUUUCUAUUUAAGUUAAAACAUUGAUGUUUUUUAUGCACUUUUCUUAAACCGUUAGUAACAUUAAUUUUCAAACGGAAAUAUGAAAUCUGCGAUCUGAUCUUUUGUCAGCAAUCUUUUAUCAUUGGUUUGCAGAUAAUUACGCAAAAACUUGCUCAUUCGAAGACAAAAAAGUUGUGGAAACGGUAUAUCUGUGAGAGUGCAGCUCUAAAUGUUUAAUUGCUUGAUUUUACUACUGUAUUAGAAAUUACAGGGAUUGGGGUAUAUUUUUAGUGUUUUUAUUGCUUGUUUUUGAUUCAUACAGUCAUACUUUAUUCUUCAGGGCACAACUUACAAAUAAACAAAACUGGAAAAUGGUCAUAUCAAAAGGUCAAAGAUAAUGCAAGUUGAACAAUCAUAUUGUUCAUGGCUUGUAUUUUUGGUAUAUUUUGUUGCAUAUGCUAUAGAAAAGUUGAAAGUUAAAAAUAAAUUCAUAGUUGAAAUGAUGGCUUUGAAUGGUAUUGUCAGAUGAGAAACGGCACUAUUAAGAAAUAGGUAUAAUGGUACUUUAUUUAUUUUAAUCAAUUUUAGAUAUUAUGAAAAUUAUUAUCUUAUUUAGUACAUGAGACCUUUUAAACAGUUAUUGACAAUAUAACAAUGUGUAUAUGAAGCUUUAGAUCAACACUUAAAGCUGCACUCUUACAGAUUGUCAGUUUAGACACAAAAUUGUCUCAAAAUCUGCUGAUUUGGUUAUCAUUCCUUUAAUUCAGUCAUAUUAGAUAAUUCACAAUAGAACCAAUCAAAAAUGUUUGGUAAAACUGCCGAAAAGUUAAUUUACAUUAAAUUGUUCGUAAUGCUUUUAGUCAUUGUAGUUCGUAAUGCUUUUAGUCAUAAAACAUCAUUUUUUUAACAUAAAUAUGAUGAACUGCAAUCUGAUCUUUUUUCAGCAGUCUUAUAUCACUUAAAAUUGGGUCUAGACAUUUCUGCAAAAAAUACUCCAUUUAUUGACAAACAAUAAAAGAGUACCGGAAGUCAAAACGAUCAAUCGGUGAGAUUGCAGCUUUAAAUACACCUUUUAAGACCGCCUGUAAAAUUCCAAUGGUUUGCCUAAAUCUUUAAAGCUAGCAUACUGUUUAAUUGACAACCAUACUUAUUGUUUAAAAGUGUCAUGAUAUCUUUGUACAAUGUUUUUUUAUAUAAUUCAUUAAAGAAGU